rfam:Picea glauca, whole genome shotgun sequence.
AUGUGCAUUCCUACAACAUAGUGUUAAUGCACCAGAUCCCAUUAGAACUAUGUAGUUAAGCUCGCUCUGGCUAGAGUAGUAUUGGGAUGGGUGACCGCCUAGGAAUUCCUAGUGUUUUACAUG